rnacentral:rRNA from 1 species
UCCCGCCACGAUCACUGAAGUUAAGCAACGUCGAGUCUUGUCAGUACUUAGCUGGGUGACCGCUAGGGAAUACCAGGUGCUGUAA